rnacentral:rRNA from 1 species
AUUGAACGCUGGCGGCAUGCUUUACACAUGCAAGUCGAACGGCAGCGCGGGCUUCGGCCUGGCGGCGAGUGGCGAACGGGUGAGUAAUACAUCGGAACGUGCCCAGUAGUGGGGGAUAGCUCGGCGAAAUCCGGAUUAAUACCGCAUACGACCUGAGGGUGAAAGCGGGGGAUCUUCGGACCUCGCGCUAUUGGAGCGGCCGAUGGCAGAUUAGCUAGUUGGUGGGGUAAAGGCCUACCAAGGCGACGAUCUGUAGCUGGUCUGAGAGGACGACCAGCCACACUGGGACUGAGACACGGCCCAGACUCCUACGGGAGGCAGCGGUGGGGAAUGUUGGACAAUGGGCGAAAGCCUGAUCCAGCAAUGCCGCGUGUGUGAUGAAGGCCUUCGGGUUGUAAAGCACUUUUGGCGGGAACGAAAAGGACUGUGCCAAUACCACGGUUCGAUGACGGUACCCGCAGAAUAAGCACCGGCUAACUACGUG